AAAAUGCGAUAAGUAAUGUGAAUUGCAGAAUUCAGUGAAUCAUCGAAUCUUUGAACGCACAUUGCGCCCGCCAGUAUUCUUGCGGGCAUGCCUGUUCGAGCGUCAUUUCAACCCUCAAGCCCCCGGGUUUGGUGUUGGGGAUCGGGCUGCGGUUCUACCGCGUCCCGGCCCCGAAAUCUAGUGGCGGUCUCGCUGCAGCCUCCAUUGCGUAGUAGCUAACACCUCGCAACUGGAACGCGGCGCGGCCAAGCCGUUAAACCCCCAACUUCUGAAUGUUGACCUCGGAUCAGGUAGGAAUACCCGCUGAACUUAAGC
rnacentral:misc_RNA from 1 species